rnacentral:rRNA from 1 species
UUUCGCAAUGCCCGAAAGGGUGACGAAGCGACGCCGCGUGAGUGAGGAAGGCCUUCGGGUUGUAAAGCUCUGUCAGGAGUUAAGAAAUAUAAGUGUGUUAAUACCACAUUUAUUUGACGAAGGCUCCAAAGGAAGCCACGGCUAACUCUGUGCCAGCAGCCGCGGUAAUACAGAGGUGGCAAGCGUUGUUCGGAAUUAUUGGGCGUAAAGAGCACGUAGGUGGGUUUGUAAGUCAGAUGUGAAAGCCUUCUGUUCAACGGAAGAAUUGCAUCUGAAACUGCGAGUCUUGAGUGUAGGAGGGGAGAAUGGAACUUCUGGUGGAGCGGUGAAUUGCGUAGAUAUCAGAAGGAACGCCGGCGGCGAAAGCGAUUCUCUGGCCUAUUACUGACACUCAGUGUGCGAAGGCUAGGGGAGCAAACGGGAUUAGAUACCCCGGUAGUCCUAGCUGUAAACGAUGGGCACUAAGUAGAGGGGUUUUA